rnacentral:tRNA from 1 species
UCUUGAAAGGCUCAGUGGUAAAGAAUCUGCCUGCAAUGCAGGAGACGCAGGUUUGAUCCCUGGGUCAGGAA